CCACGCCCGGCUAAUUUUUUGUAUUUUUGGUAGAGACGGGGUUUCACCGUGGUCUCGAUCUCCUGACCUCGUGAUCCGCCCGCCUCGGCCUCCCAAAGUGCUGGGAUUACAAGCGUGAGCCACCGCGCCCGGCCUAAAAAAAAAACUAGAUUUCAUUUGCAAAAUUCUAAAAUAAAUUUUGGAUGUUUUUCUAUAUGCAAGUUACUUUCAUAUUCGAAAGAAGAUUGACCCUUUUAUAUAAGUGAAUAAAUGUACCUGUGGAACACUACAAAUAUAAAAGCUCUGUCAAAAGGAGGCUUUCUCCCAAUAUUUUUUCUCCAUUCUUUCUUUGUAGAAUCCCUAGUUUUUAGAGGGCCUCUCUCUGUCCAGAAAAAGAUUGUAUUUCUCCACUUCCCUUGUAACUUGGCGUGGCGAUGUCUGUCCAACUGGACAUAAGCAGGAGUGGUGCAUGGAAUUUUCAGGAAAUGUCCUUAAAGGGAAAAGGUUCUACUUUUCUCCUUUUUUUUUUUUUUUUUUUUGAGACAGAGACGCUCUGUCGCCCAGGCUGGAGUGCAGUGGUGCGAUCUCGGCUCACUGCAAGCUCCGCCUCCCAGGUUCACGCCAUUCUCCUGGCUCAGCCUCCCGAGUAGCUGGGACUACAGGCGCCUGCCACCAUGCCCGGCUAAUUUUUUGUAUUUUUAGUAGAGACGGGGUUUCACUGUGUUAGCCAGGAUGGUCUCGAUCUCCUGACCUCAUGAUCCGCACGCCUAGGCCUUCCAAAGUGCUGGGAUUACAGGCGUGAGCCACCGCGCCUGGCCUAUUUUCUCCUUUCUGGCUACAAUGUUAAUGUGAGAGCUGGAGCGUGAAUACACACCUUGGACUAUGAGUGGAAACCAUGUACUAAGGAUGAUAGAGCCAAAGAUAAGAGCCGGGUUUCCUGGCAUUGUGGGACAGCGUGUCACCUCUAGAGAGACUACUACCUCUCUAGAGAGAUUUUUAAUGUGAGUAAGAAAAUAAUCUGCUUUUUUGAUAAACCACUGUAAUUUUGCAUUUACUGUUAUUCGUAGCUAAACUAAUUUAAAUGGGUAAACCCUCAAAUAUGGGAAGAAAUUAUCUCCUUUUGAAAAUACACCAUACUGGCUGGGCGUGGUGGCUCACAGCUGUAAUCUCAGCACGUUGGGAGGCCAAUAUGGGUGGAUCACCUGAGGUCAGGAGUUCAAGACCAGCCUGGCCAACAUGGUGAAACCCCGUCUGUACUAAAAAUACAAAAAAUUAGCUGGGCGUGGUGUUGGGCACCUGUAAUUCCAGCUACUCGGGAGGCUGAGCAGGAGAAUCACAUGAACCUGGGAGGCAGACGCAGUGAGCCGAGAUGGUGCCACCGCAUUCCAGCCUGGGCAACAAGAGUGAAACGCCAUCUCAAAAAAAGAAAAGAAAAGAAAGAAAAUACACCAUACUGACGGUACUGUACUCCAAGUUAUUUAGUUUGGCCUAAUGGUGGCGUCUCCAUGAAGUAAUUCAAAUCUGAAUGAUGUUUCUAUUAAAAAAAAAUACAGCUCACUCCAAUUUCUUUUUCUGUUGGCGUCAGUACCUUGAAUAUGAUGUUCACUUCCUUUGAAUAAAUAGCAUCUUGAAAAGUGGAAGUAGAGUAUCUAAAGCAAACUCAAACCUGCUUUGAAAAAAAAGGCAAAUUCAGUAACAUUUUCAAUGCUUGUGUCUAAUGCAAUUGUGAAAAAAAAUUAGUGUCAUGGGUAAUUUAUGUCCUGAUGAAUUCAAAAGAUUGGGUGUUGAAUUAAUGGUGAGUUUUGCACUGAAGAGGAUUGCUGCUGUAUUCUUUGUUGACCUGUAUGGUAAUUGCAUAUAUUUGCUUUUAAUUAUCAAUUAAACUGUAUGUUUAUGUGCUUUUCUGCAUUAUAUCUCAUAAAGGAUUAAAGAAGUGAAUUUUGUGGUUUCUUUUUAAAAUAUACCUUUUACUUUUAAAAGCCAAUAUUUUGUUUUUGACAAGAAUGAAGGUAAAUUACAAAUUCAUAUUAUUGUGAGUUUCUCAACCAAAAAUUUAUUGCUUUGCUUAACAAAUUUUUUAAUCAAAUAUAUGUGAUAUUUUAGUGGAAGCCAUCGAGUAGUUUUAACUAAGGAUAAUCUCAGAAAGUUAUCAGGCUUUCUAUGUAUAGCAACUCCUUAGCUAAACCCAUUAAUAUAUUGGAUCUAGUUGAAAUAUAACCACCUCAAAUCUUUUAUAGAACAAGGUUAGAAAAAAAUGGAUGGAUAAAUCAAAGUUUAAAAGUUGCAGGCCGGGCGCGGUGGGUUACGCCUGUAAUCUCAGCACUUUGGGAGGCCGAGGCAGGCAGAUCACGAGGUCAGGAGAUCGAGACCAUCCUGGCUAACACGGUGAAACCCCGUCUCUACUAAAAAUACAAAACAAAUUAGCUGGGCGUAGUGGCAGGCGCCUAUAGUCCCAGCUACUCGGGAGGCUGAGGCAGGAGAAUGGGGUGAACCCGGGAGGCGGAGCUUGCAGUGAGCCGAGAUCGCGCCACUGCACUUCAGCCUGGGCGACAGAGUGAGACUCAGUCUCAAAAAAAAAAAAAAAAAAAUUGCAGUACCAACUUUUUUGUACUGUUUACCUAUAUAACAAGUUUACCUACAUAACAAAACCUGCACAUGUACCCCUGAACCUAAAAAAAAAGUUAAAAAAAAAGUUGCAGUAAGGUUCUAAGAAACUUUCCAUAAGAAAUAUAACUAAUAUAAACUCCUACUCAUAGCUUGAUUAAAUAAAUAAUGAAAAAAGGCCGAGUGGGGUGGCUCACGCCUACAAUCCCAGCACUUUAGGAGGCCAAGGCAGGCGGAUCACGAGGUCAGGAGAUCAAGACCAUCCUGGCUAACACGGUGAAAUCCUGUCUCUACUAAAAAAAAUACAAAAAAAUUAGCCGGGCUUGGUGGCAGGCGCCUGUAGUCCCAGCUACUCGGGAGGCUGGGGCAGGAGAAUGGCAUGAACCUGGAAGGCGGAGGUUGCAGUGAGCUGAUAUCGCGCCACUGCACUCCAGCCUGGGCUACAGAGCGAGACUCCGUCUCAAAAAAAAAAAAAAAAGAAAGUUAUUAGCUAUCACAAAACAAUGAUCUGAAGAGGUUAGCUGAUUUUGGACACUCAUUUCAUAAAUGGCUCAUAUAAAUAACAAAAGUAACUAAUGAAAGUGUAAAAUUAAAAUAUAUUAACUCUGAAUUGAGUCUAAAUGAAUCCACGAUGAUUAAGAAUUCUUACCCACCCACUUCAAAAUGGAAGCAUCAAUUUCCAGCAAAUACAUUUUACUUCUCUUUACAUGAGUAGCAGUUGCUAAAUCUUUUUUUUGUUUGUUUUUUUAAUUGAGAUGGAGUCUUGCUCUGUCGCCCAGUCUGGAGUGCAGUGGCACGAUCUCAGCUCACUGCAACCUCCAUCUCCUGGGUUCAAGCUAUUCUCCUGCCUCAGCCUCCCAAAUAGUUGGGACUACAGGUGUGUGCCACCACACCCAGCUAAUUUUUGUAUUUUUAGUAGAGACGGGGUUUCACCAUGUUGGCCAGGAUGGUCUUGAUCUUUUGACCUCGUGAUCUCCCUUCCUCGGCCUCCCAAAGUGCUGGGAUUACAGGCGUAAGCCACCGCACCCGGCCAUGCUCUUUUAAUGUACUCACAGUUCUGCACUAUUCUCAUCAGCCUAGCACUCAGUGGAAAUAUUGAGCAGAGAUGCUAGCUGGGCUUCCUGGGUCGUAGGGGCUGAGAAAGCUGUGAAACUCACUCAUUUCCUGCAUCAGGACUUACUUUGGUCCUGGAUGAAUAAUAUUGAAGGUAUAUCCUUAAAAUAUUCCUAACAUCAGAAUUUGUGCAUGUGUUUUCUUCCCCAAGAAAGCUAUAAACAGUGAAAAUUUUGCUGUAAGCUUCCCUGUGUCCUCUCUCCCUCUGUCCCUUCCCCCUCCCCUGAAACUAAAAGGAAUGUUAAAAAACCCGUUUUUCUGUGACCAGCAGACCUUAUCUAUGCUCCCAAUUCCAAUUCCCUGUAAACACAAUUUGUAAAGUCUUGUGAGAUCCUGUCUCCUUUGCCAUGCCGCUGCCAGGUUAUAAAGUAGAUAAAACUUAAGUUACAAUUCUGAGAAGAGUUGCUUCUCUUUCUGUGACCAAAUUCCAACAGCUACUUUUAGAUCUUUCUGGCAUUAUCUCCCCUUUCUUCUGGAGCUUUUCCAAAGGUCUGACAUUUGGAUAUCUACCAAUUACCUUCAAGAUCUGAGACAAAUUAAUUGUCUUUGUUUCUCGCUCUGGUAACAUCUUCCUGCCGCACGUAUUUCCAGCCUUAAAGAGUUUAAAAGGUGAUGAAAAAUCUAACACUGGCUACCCACUCGUGACCCCUUCCACACUGGAAGCUUUGUACUGUCACUCUGCUCGAUAAAGUCUACAGCUCUUUUUCUCUCGGUCCGAUCCCUGUCUCUCUCUCGUCAUGGGCUACCGCCACACCAAUCCUUUGGCAUGGCUAAGGCAAGAACCUUUGGCGUUACAAUUUCAACCUCUAACAAAUACCUGCCUUACUCAUAAAGGACACCUAUUACAUCUAGAGACAAAAAUUUAAAACUGAGUGAUACUUAGUCCAAUCUCUUCAUUUUAAUAAAGAGGAAACUGAAGCACAAGGAAUAAAUGAUUUGUCACAGAUAACACAUCUAGAAACAGGGUUUCUUGAUCCCUACCUCAUUAAAAUACAAUUCAUUGUCUUAACCAUCAGUGAGAUUUGUGAUUGGAGGCAGUAAGAGGGGACCCUAGAAACAGGCCAGACUUAGCAGAAAAGAAAAUGCUUGUUCACAGAGCUGCUUCUCAGUAAAUCACACCAAAAUGAUCACCUGCAAGACUAUAGAGGCCAAACUAUUAUAGACGCCAAGAGUUGGACUCACGAAGGCAGUAAGUAGGGAAAGGGAUGUGGUAUAGUAAAAUGUUACUAAGAAAGGACUUCAGGCAACGAUAGACACGUAUAAAUAAAAUCCACCUGGAGGCUGGGCGCAGUGGCUCACGCUUGUAAUCCCAGCACUUUGGGAGGCCGAGGCAGAUGGAUCACUUGAAGUCAGGAGUUCGAGACCAGCCUGGCCAACAUGGUGAAACCCCGUCUCUACUAAAAAUACAAAAAUUAGCCGGGCGUGGUGGUAGGUGCCUAUAAUCCCAGCUACUCGGGAGGCUGAGGCAGGAGAAUCGCUUGAACCUGGGAGGCAGAGGCUGCAGUGAGCCAAGAUUGCACCACUGCACUCCAGCCUGGGCGAGAGUGAGACUCCGUCUAAAAAAAAAAAAAAAUUCACCUGGAAUGUGGCCUCAGAAUCCCUCCAUCAAAGCCAUGCCUUCUUUACUCACUUGUCUCUCAAAACUUAUUUCUCUUCUCCAUCUUGUUUCCCCAUCAAUGCUUCCUUCAGUUGCUUAUUUUAGUCAGAUUAUUCUGCACAUAAUUUUUUUUUUUUACAUGGCAGGGAGAAAGGUAUAAAGUACAGAACACAUAGGCAGUGUAAUUCUCCUAAGUCCUGAAUUCCCUUGACUUAGUCUUAGCUACAAUUGUAUAAUUUCCCCUAUAUAUUUAAGGGUAGUUUAAAAAUAAAAGAUUAUGUUUCCCUUUAGAAGAACCAUGGGAUUGCUGCAUGAUGCAACUAAUGGUCCACAUUUUUGGAAAACAAACUUGAAGAAAAAUAAAGAAGUAUUAAACUUAUAUAUAUAUGUGACUAGAAUACCUCCUGCCUAUGAAACUUGUUAGAGGAUUAAAUACAUUUAAAGAAAUAAUCCAGAAAUGCUUCUAUGAAAUUUACCAAAUAGAGUGUUAAGUACCUGAAAAGAAAGAAGAUUGGGAGGCUGAGGCAGGUGGACCACUUGAGCCUAGGACUUUGAGACCAGCCUGGGCAACACGGCAAAACCCCAUCUCUAAAAAAAAAAAAAAAAAAAAAAAAAGUUAAAACUAGCCAGGUGUGGGGGUGCACCCGUAGUCCCAGCUACUGGAGGGGCUGAGGUGGGAGGAUUGUUUGAGCCUGGGAGGCUGAGGCCACAGUGAACUGUAAUCACACCACUGUACGCCAGACUGGGCGACAGAGUGAGAUCCUGUCUCAAAACAAAACAAAACAUGAUGGGUGUGGUGGCUCACGCCUGUAAUCCCAGCACUUGGGGAGGCUGAGGCUGGUGGAUCACCUGAGGUCGGGAGUUCGAGACCAGCCUGACCAACAUGGAGAAAUCCUGUCUCUACUAAAAAUACAAAAUUAGCCUGGUGUGGUGGCACAUGCCUGUCACCCCAGCUACUCGGGAGGCUGAGGCAAGAGAAUCACUUGAACCUAGGAGGCAGAGGUUGCAGUGAGCUGAGAUCAUGCCAUUGCACUUCAGCCUGGGCAACAAGAGCGAAACUCCCUCUAUUAAAAAAAAAGAAAAGAAGAAAAAGAAAUAAGAUAGCAGAAUCUUACUCUCCAAAUCUGCUUUCUUUUUCUAAUAUGUACUUUGAAAAAGUAUGCAAUAUUCCUCUUGGUAAAGCAUUAACUUAGUGAUUGGAUUGUGCAUGGCAGUGGCAGCCAAUACGUUAAUCUUAGAGGACUGUUCACUCUCAUUAGUUGUCAAAAGGUAAUGAAGACUGAGAAUUCCUCAGCCCUAUGGAUAACACAUGAGUACAGGCCGAUUUGUAUUUAUUCCAUGAUCCUAUUUUAGUCCCUUGUGGAUAAUGGAAUCCCACUGUGUUAUCUGUCUUUUUCCUUCCUUCCUUCCUUCCCUCCUUCCCUCCCUCCUUCCUUCCCUUCUUCCUUCCUUCUUUCCUUCCCUCCCUCCCUCUCUUUCUCUCCUUGCUUCCUUCCUUUUCUUUUUCUCUUUCUUCUUUCUUUCUUUCCUUUCUUUUAAUUUCUUUCUCUCUUUCUUUCUUUCUUUCCCUCUCUCUUUCUCUCUGUCUCUCUCUCUCUUUCUCUUUCUUUCUUUCAUCAGGAUCUCACUCUGUUGCCCAGGCUGGAGUGCAGUGAUGCAAUCAUAGCUUACUGCAGCCUCAAACUCCAGGGCUUAAGCGAGCCUCCUAUCUCAGCCUCCUGAGUAGCUGGGACUACAGGUGUGCACCACUACAUGUAGCUAUUUUCUAAAAAAUUUCUGUAGAGACGGGGUCUCACUAUGUUGCCCAGGAUGAUCUCGAACUUCUGUCCUCAAGCAAUCCACUUGCUUCGACCUCUCGAAGGGCUGGGAUUAUAGGCGUAAGCCGCCACACCCAGCCCCGAUUAGGUUAUUUCUUUUUAAAAUAUCUCUUAUAUUUUCAAGUAAAUUGACAUUUGUGAACUUUUUAUUUCUAUCAUUUAUUGUUAUUAUAGAAAUUAUCAUCUUAAAGUGUGAACAUGUAAACAUCUGGCUUCUGGAGAUUGUGGUCUACCUAAUUCUGAACCCUAAGAGUUUGCAUCUAGGGUUGCUUAACCCUAUCUGAAAAAUAGGAAAGUUCCAGCUCAGACUCUGGAAUAAUUCACAUCCUCUGUAUGUGGUGGAUAAGAAACGAGAUCUUCAGCCCAACACUGGGUCAUCUGAUCCUGUUUCCCCAGUAUUUCCAGGAAGUUGAUUCUUUAUUUAGACUUCUGUGCCUGAGUCCUUGCCUUCCACAUUGGUACAUCAGAAACCUGACUGCGGCUUUUCUCCCUAUGCCUCACUGACCCCUUUCCCUGCAAAUUGGACUCUCUUCUAUCUCCCCAAUUCCAUCUAGCCUAGUGAAUGAGUUGCUCCUCUGCACGUCACUUUCUGUGAUCAAAUUCCAACAGCUACUUUUAGAUCUUUCUGGCAUUAUCUCCCCUUUCUUCUGGAGCUUUUCCAAAGGUCUGACAUUUGGACAUCUACCAAUCACCUGCCUUUGUUGACAAAAUGUGGUAGAGCUAGAAUGCAAGGCCAGAUUUCAUCACCUCCAAAGACUGCUUGUCUGCACCAGAUCCAACCACUGUUUAUAUGGACAUUUUGAAGAGGUUCCCCAGAUGAAGGGCCAAGAUAGUGGCUCAUGCCUAUAAUCCCAGCACUUUGGGAGGCUGAGGCAAAAGGAUUGCUUGAGGCCAGAAGUUCAAGAUCACCCUGGACAACAAAGUGAGAUCCUGUCUCUAAAAAUAAAAGUAAAUAAUAAAUGUUUACAAAUGUUCCCCAAAUGAGAGAUUUAGCAGAGCAAGUUCUGCAAAGAAGGCCUCUUGCAAACACUGGCUUCCUAAACAGUCAACUCACUGGGGCAGAAGCCAACUCUCUUAGUCUAGUUGAUGUCAGUGUAACUGAACGCCUGUUAGUCGAGGUGAGACACUGUCCCCUAGCACGCCUAGGGCAUGGAGGUAAAGAUGACCCAUGAUAAGGUGGACUCAUUUGGUAGCAAAGGCAAAUUGAAGAUUUCUUGAUCCAUAAAUCAGUCUAUAAAAAGUAAGUAAGACUUUGGACUAACGGUUGGUAGAUUUUGGAUACCUGGGGUUUUUUCUUGUUUUGUUUUGUUUUUGCCUGUUUGCAGGCAUCCAACACCCCUCUCGAAUCAGUGUCUUGCGGAAGCAGAAGAAAAGUAAUACAUCUAUUGUAUUUUGAAAUGAAAGCAAGAAUUAUUUUGCUGCAGAGCUAUAGCUUAACAUUUUUAGCAAAAUGUGGAUCCUUCUUCUCAAUCUUCAUUUAGGAUGCUGUGACUACAGCCCUCUGUUUAGUUAGUGGAAUUGAGAACAAGGCCCAGGUGGAUGAUUGAGGACUAAACCCCAAACUUGCCUUGGAUCACUCCACUGUUUCAGGUAAGAUCAGGGGGUAGUUAACUCUAAGUUAUACAAAUUGUCUGCAGUAGCAUGAGAGUACACCUUUCAGAUCUCCUACUGCAGGAAGCAUAAUUUAUUUCCAGCCCUAGCUGCUGGUGUGCCCAGCAUUGAGGCCACACUUCCUGUGGGCUGCUCCCAGUCAAUGACUGAGUAUGGCAGGGAUACCAAGGAGGCCCCUUCCUGGGAGGCAGAGGCUCCUCUAAUGGGCAACUUAGGUUUGCCGACUCCCUUUUGACCUUGCUGAAACUUUCUUAGAACUACAAGGCAGUCUAUGGCCUGUCUUUCCUCCUUCAUCCCUCCCUCCCUGCCUCCCUCCCUCCCUCCCCCCCUCCCUCCCUCCCUCCCUCCCUUCCUUCCUUCCUUCUUUCCUUCCUUCCUUCCUUCCUUCCUUCCUUCCUUCCUUCCUUCCUUCCUCCCUUCCUUUCUUUCUCCCUCCCUCCUUUUCUCCUCUUUCCCUCUCCAGUUUCUUCCUUUCUUCCUUCCUUCCUUUCUCCUCCCUCCUCUCCCUUCUCUCUUCCUUCCUCCCUCCCUCCCUCACUCCCUUCCUUCCUUCCUUCUUUCCCUCCUUCCCUCUGUCUUCCCAGGGGGCAGACCUGUGUCAUGGUCUGAUGGCUCUCCUAUCACCCUCUUGUUUCCUUCUCAUUAUCCCUCCCCAGUGUUUUCGCCAAUUAAUCUCUUAUCCAGCUAAUCCUUUUUUGGCAUUUGCUUGUCAGACCACCUGGACUAAAUCAUUAUUUAACUAAUUUGUUUUGCAUGUGUAAUUUAGGAUCAAACAUCACUUCUGAGUUCAGGGGCACAUAUCAUUCAUUAGAAGGGGCAAGACCUAAUGCUGAAAAAAAAAAAAACCAGUAUGUGCAUUCUGUGGAUCAACUGACUCUGUUGACCUAAACAUGUAGAACAGUAUUCCAGUUCUUAAUACUUUAAAAUCUCUAGAGCAAGUCCUUAUAGCUUGGAAGAAAACCAUUGGAAAGCCAAAAGGAAAGAAGUGACACCAGCCAAUUCUCCUCAUUCUAGGUCCAGGGCAAUGAACUUAGGGAGGAGGUCGUGCAAACUGGAAACCAUAGCCCUGUCUCAUGGCUUAACUAGGGAUGGUUAAAGUUCUGAGAGGCAGGUUGUCACCUCAUUAUCUAUCCACCCAUGCACACACAGUGAAGUCCAUGGAGCACUCACUCUACGACCAGCACUGGUGGGCCCUGAAGAUAACAGAGGUUAUCCUCAAGAAACUCAAGUCUAUGGAGAAGAUAGGCUUGGAAACAGACAGACUGAUGACACAAUACAAGCCCUAAAACUGAGAUGUGAACUGACUUGGAAAGUAUGAUAAGAACACCUCCAACUGCUUGGCAGAUGGAAAGGCAUUUAAAGUGGAAAUUGAAGGACAGAAGAGAUGGUCAGACAGUGAAGAUAAGUGACACGAAGGAGCUCCAUUCACAGAGAGCGAAAUAGAUACAUCUACAGUCUUUUUCUUCUUUUUCUUUUCUUUCAGCCAGGGUCUCACUCUGUCACUCAGGCUGGAGUGCAGUGGCGCGAUCUCAGCUCACUGCUGUCUCAACUUUCUGGGCUCAAGUGAUCCUCCCACCUCAGCCUCCCAAGUAGCUGGGACCACAGGUGGAUGCCACCAUGCCCAGCUAAUUUUUAUUUUAUUUUUGAUAGAGAUGAGGUCUCCCUAUGUUACCCAGGCUGGUCUCUGACUCCUGGCCCAAAGUGAUCCUCCUGCCUCAGCCUCCCAAAGUGCUGAGAUUACGGGUAUGAGUCACUGUGCCUGGAUUUUUUUUUUUUUAAACACUGAGAUCCUAGGAAACAAAUUCACAAUCUUUUAAGGUGUUUCUGGGGUGCCACAAGAUGUUUCUGCCUGCUGCUUGGCACUGGGCUUGCUGGCCUUGCUGCAGGCACUCGGCCUUCUCUCCCUUCUCCAGGAUGUCGAUUUUUUUCACACUCAUGCUGUUUAUUCAUAACAUCUUCACCCAGCCUAGACUGUGGACCAGACAUGGGGACAACGUGAGCAAGACAGACAAGAUCCCUGCCCUCCUGCAUCUUGUAUUCUGAUGGGGGAGACAGAAGAUAAGGAAAUCCCAACACUUUGGGAGGCCAAGGCAGGCAGAUCACUUGAGGUCAGGAGUUCGAGACCAGCCUGGCCAACAUGGUGAAACCUCAUAGUGAUAGAGAAAACAGGAGACCUGAUGAGCUCUGAUAGAGGCAGACCUUUCCUCUAUCAUGGCUUUGCAUGUUCCCUUUGGUUAAUAUGAUGGCGAGGAUGAGGUUGACUACUUGAGAGUGGGUGCUCAUGGCCUUCCUGCUAAAAGGCCCCAUAGCCUUGCAUUUCAACAAUCCCAUGUUUAAUGUCUUGGAGUAAAGGGUAUGGUACCACCCUAACUUUGAAUGUUAUCCUCAGCAGGUUAAAUCCGAUUAGGAAGGUGUUUUUGGCUGGGCGCAGUGGCUCACACCUGUAAUCCCAACACUUUAGGAGGCUAAGGCAGGAGGGUUGCUUGAGGCCAGGAGUUCAAGACCAACCUGGGCAACAUGGUGAAACCCCCGUCUCUACAAAAAAUUUUAAAAAUUCGCUGGACGAGGUGUGGUGGCUCGUGCCUGUAGUCCUAGCUACUCAGAAUAGUUUGAGCCCAGGAGUUCGAGGUUACAGUGAGCUGUGAUGGCACCACUGCACUCCAACCUGGGCAACUGAGACCCUAUCUUCAAAAAAAAAAAGAAAGUAUUUCAGUCUUUUAGUUUCCUAGAGCUGCUGUAACCAAUUAUUACAAAGUAAGUGGUUUAAAGCAACAGAAAUUUAUUCUCGUACAGCUCUGGAGGUUAGAAGUCUAAAAUCAAGGCAUAUUCAGGGUUAUGCUCUCUCUGAAGUUUCCAAAGGAGGGUCAUUCACUGCCUCUUCUAGCUUCUGGUGGCUGUCUGCAAUCUGUGUGUGUGUGUGUGUGUGUGUGUUUUAGUUUUAUUUUUGAGAUUCAGGCUGAAGUGCAGUGGCAUGAUCUCGGCUCACUGCAAUCUCGGCCUCCCAGGUUCAAGCGAUUCUUGUGUCUCAGCCUCCUGAGGAGCUGGGACUUCAGACCCACGCCACCUCGCCCAGCUAAUUUUUUUUUUUUUUUUUUUUUUUUUUUGAGAUGGAGUCUCACUCUGUCGCCCAGGCUGGAGUGCAGUGGCGCGAUCUCGGCUCACUGCAAGCUCCGCCUCCCAGGUUCACGCCAUUCUCCUGCCUCAGCCUUCCGAGUAGCUGGGACUACAGGCACCCACCACCAAGCCCAGCUAAUUUUUUGUAUUUUUAGUAGAGACGGGGUUUCACCAUAUUAGCCAGGAUGGUCUCCAUCUCCUGACCUCGUGAUCUGCUCGCCUCGGCCUCCCAAACUGCUGAGAUUACAGGUGUGAGCCACUGUGCCCGGCUUUUUUUUUUUUUUUAGACAGAGUCUCACUUUGUCACCCAGGCUGGAGUGCAGUGGCACUAUCUCAGCUCACCGCAAGCUCCAACUCCCGGGUUCACAUCAUUUUCCUGCCUCAGCCUCCUGAGUAGCUGGGACUACAGGCACCUGCCACCACGCCCUGCUAAUUUUUUUUUUUUUUUUUUUUUUUUUUGUGAGACGGAGUCUAGCUUUGUUACCAGGCUGGAGUGCAGUAACAUAGUCUCAGCUCACUGUAACCUCUGCCUCCUGGGUUCAAGCAAUUCUCCUGCCUCAGCCUCCUGAGUAACUGGGAUUACAGGCACACGCCACCACACCCAGCUAAUUUUUGUAUUUUUUUUUUUUUUUUUAGUAGAGACAGGGUUUCACUGUGUUACCCAGGAUGGUCUCGAUCUCCUGACCUGGUGAUCCGCCCGCCUCGGCCUCCCAAAGUGGUGGGAUUACAGGCGUGAGCCACCGCACCCGGCCUUUUUUUGGUAUUUUUAGUGGUGACACAGAUUCAGUAUGCUGUGGAGGCUGGUCUUGAACUCCUGAACUCAAGUGAUCCACCCACCUCGGCCUCCCGAAGUGCUGGGAUUACAGGCAUGAGCCAUCACGCCCAGCCGGCUGCCUGCAAUCUUUAGCCUUCCUCAGCUGGCAGGUGCAUCACUCCAGUCUCUGCCUCUGUCAUCACAUCGCGUUCUCCCCAUGUGUCUGUUUAUGUGUCCAGAUUCCCUCCUAUAAGGACACUCAUCAUUGGAUUCAGGUGCACACUAAUCCAGUAUGAUCUCAUCUUGACUUAAUUACAUCUGUGAAGACCCUAUUUCCAAAUAAGGUCACAAUCUGAGGUUCUGCGUGGGCAUGAAUUUGGGGGAGACACUCUUCAACUCAGUAGAGAAGGGGAGUGGAGUAAUCACAUUCUGCUCUGUAAGGAUGACACAGGGAUGAACUCGACACUAGAAAAGGUAGUGAUGGAGAAAACAGGAGACCUGGUGAGCUCUGAUAGAGACAGGCCUUUCCUCUAUCAUGGCUUUGCGUGUUCCCUUUGGUUAGGAACACAAGUUUCCAUCAAUGGGUCUACCUUCAGAACUCUUCAGUGUUCAGACUGCAUUCAGAAAUAUACUUGAGGGCCGGGCGCAGCGGCUCACGCCUGUAAUCCCAACACUUUGGGAGGCUGAGGCAGGCAGAUCACUUGAGGUCAGGAGUUCGAGACCAGCCUGGCCAACAUGGUGAAACCCCUUCUCUACUAAAAAUACAAAAAUUAGCCGGGCGUGUGUCAGGAGCCUAUAAUCCCAGCUGCUCUGGAAGCCGAGGAAGGAGAAUUGCUUUAACCUGGGAGGUGGCAGGUUGCAGUGAGCUGAGAGCAUGCCACUGCACCACUGCAGUCUGGGUGACAGAGUGAGACUCCAUCUCAAAAAAAAAAAAAAAAAAAAAAAUCUGCUCGAGUUUUAUUUCUUACUAAAGUUUUUUUUGUAAAAAAAAAAAAAUAAUAAGUACGUGGGAUUUAGUUAUAGUUUCCUUUAUAUUUUUCCAUUUGUUUGAGAUUUGUCCUAUUAAAAUUAGUUAAAAGUGAAAAAUGAUUUCAUGAGUUAAAUUUUUUUUCUUUUUUAAUGGGGAAAUAAUUUCCAAUUCACAGAAAACUUGAAAGAAUAAGAAUAGUACUAAGAACACUUAGAUUGUUCCCCUACUGUUAGCAUUUUACCCCAUUUGCUUUAUCUUUUGUUCUGUUUAUCUCUUCCUAAUCAUUUUUCCCUGAACUCUUUUGAGGGUAUGUUACAUACAGUAAGGCUCUUUAUCCCAUAGGAAAUGACAAUGUACAUUUCCUAACCACUUCACAGUUAUUAAUCUCAGUAAAUUUGACACCAUACAAUGACUUUAUCUAAUCUAUCAGCCUCAUUGGUAUUCCAGUUUUGUCAGUUAACUCAAUAAUGUCCGUUUUUGUUUGUUUGUUAAAGACAGGGUCUUGCUCUGUUGCCCAGGCUGGAGUGCAGUAGUGCAAUCUCAGCUCACUGCAACCUCUACUUCCUGGGUUCAAGCGAUUCUCUCACCUCAGCCUCCUGACUGACUAGCUGGGACUACAAGAGAAACAAAUGCUGGCCUUGAGACUCAAAUAACUACAGUUGACCCUUGAAAAUCAUGGAUUUGAACUGCAAGGUCCACUUAUACAUGGACUUUUUUCCACCUCUGCCAUCCCUGAGACAGCAAGACCAACCCCUCCUCUUCCCUGUCCUCCCUAGCCUACUCAACAUGAAGAUGACGAGGAUGAAGACUUUUAUGAUGAUCCACUUCCAUUUAAUGAAUAGUAACUAUAUUUUCUCUUCCUUAUGACUUUCUUAAUAACAUUUAUUUUAUCUAGCUUACUUUAUUGUAAGAAUACUGUCUAUAAUAUGUAGAACAUACAAAAUAUAUAUUAAUAAUUGCCUGUUUAUGUUAUUGAUAAGACUCAUGGUUAACAGCAGGCUAUUAGUAGCUAAGUUUUGGAGGAGUCAAAAGUUAUAUAUGGAUUUUCAACUGUAUGGGGUUCAGCACCCCUGAUAUGGUUUAGCUGUGUCCCCACCCAAAUCUCAUUUUGAAUUGUAGUUCCCAUAAUCCCCAGUGUCAUAGGAGGGACCUGGUGGGAGGUAAUAGAAUCAUGGGGGCAGGUGCUGUUCUUGUGAUAGUGAAUACAUCUCACGAGAUCUGAUGGUUUUAUAAGGGCAGUUUCCCUGCACAUGCUCUCUUGCCUGUGGCCAUGUAAGACAGGCCUUUGCUCUUCCUUUGCCUUCUUCCAUGAUUGUGAGGCCUCCCUAGCCAUGUGGAACUGAGUCCAUUAAACCUCUUUUUCUUUAUA